rnacentral:lncRNA from 1 species
GCCCCCAGAGGUGAUUCUGCCUGCAUGACGUCCUCCGUUCCGGAGGCGAGCUCGCCGCAUGCGCCACAUCAGGAUCAAAAAUAGAAAGAAAAAAAAAGAAGAAAAGAAGAAGCGGAAGAAGCUGCGGAGGCGGCGGAGGCGGCAAGGAGGAGGGGCCUCGCGCAGCGAUGGAGGAGGCAGCGGGGACGUGGGGACGCGACUUUGUGUAGGCGGGUCGUGGGGCGCCCAUGGCGGAGUGUGGCCCGGGCGCCACAGGUGGGGCCCUGCCCACCUCCCCCGGCCGGGCCCUCAGCGCCAAUGGCGCCCUGAUAGCGGGAGCCCGAGAAGGCGCGGUAGCGCCAAGGGCGGUCGCCUUAGCCAAGGUCUGGCGCGCUAUGACAGCGGCGGGGUUUCCCACAGAGACUACAGACUCGCAGUGUCGGGGGACAAAAGUCCGGGCCAGCCCUGCCAGGGAACCUCGAGGCAUGGUGCUCUGGCCGACCCCUAGCCGGGUCGCUGGUCUGGUCCCCAGGGACAGCAAGCUGAGCGGCCUGUGAGCAGCAGCAGCGUCAAGGUUUCGGUAGGAAGGCAUCAUCCUGAAAUGAUAUCAGUAAGCAAGAGAAGCGUCUAAAGAAAUUGGAAGAACUAAAAUUUGAAACCCAGAAGUGUAAAUUCCAGAGGGAUGUACUUUCUCAAAUCCUGGACCUUUAUAUCUAUGAUGAUUGGGACUAUAGGCUGGAUGUUGAAUUGCCUAUACUUCAAUCUGAACGUGGGAUGAGAAUGAUGGCUGUGCAUUAAAUGAACAACUCAAUAUGUGACGCCAUGGAGAAGUACAAGGAGCUCAUACAAGAGAACAAUUCCUACACAUCAGGCACUUCCAGCUCCUGCGUGAACGGACUCCAUAGAAGAACAAUAUAAAGAUUUUGCUGUAUGAGAACAAAAAACUGAUGGUGGAGCAGACUGUUCUGCCAGCAUCCUGUGUGGAGGCAAAGAGGUUCUGUGAAGAGGCCGGAAUGAACAUCUGUGUCCCCAGAGCCAAGCAGUUGCAGGUAUGCAUGCCUCCACUGACAUUACACUCAUCUAAUGACCAGAAUAAGGAAGGAUUAGAGGAAACAAUGCAGGACACUCUGAAGCAGAGAGAACUGAUCACCCAGGAAAGUGACUUGGGAGAAACAGUGUAGAAGAAUUGUGACAUCUUUGAGAUCAGGUCUAAAAUUCUCCAGCGAAACUCGAACAUGGCAUAGACCAGAACAAGAUCUCCCUUGGAGAGCAGUGCCACAGGAGGAGUCUAAGUGUGCACAACAAAUACACCACUAUUACAUCGCAUCCUUAAUAUCCAUAGCAGUUGUGGGCUGCAUUUUCCUACUUUAGUUUGAUUUCUUUGGAUUGAAUAGGCCAUACUUUCAUCUCGGCUCUCCCGAGCAAGCGUGCACAUUUGAAGAAGCGUGCACAGAGAAGAGCUGAUGCACAUCAAUCGAGAACUGCUGAGCAUCCAGGAAGAGUGUGCACAUGUACAUUUGUACUUGUCCUGAAGGGUCACCCAGAAGAGUUUCAUGGAGAUCAGUCCACAACAUUGGAAAAACUUUGAGUCAAAGACUGUCAUAUGUUUUAUACUCAGUAUUGGAUGGCUUUGUCCUUCAUACCCUCACUCCAACAAGGCAGACCUACUUACAUUCCCCUUGAAAAGAUUAUUACCAUCAGUAACUGCUUGUCUACUGUGUUUCCAAGGGACACAACUGCUAUACACUUGACAACUAUAGCAAUCACCCAGAACAUCUGCAUAAAG